CCAAGAGCCACCUGUCCAUGCCCCAAGACCAGAAAGGCAACAGGAACCACUGGGAGCACAGGGCUGUCUUCGGUGUGCCGAGCUGGAGAGAGAGAUAGACGACCUGAAAGAGCGAUUAGGUAAGAUGAACCCCAGGCUGGGGCUGGGGCAGGGGCUGGGACAGACCUAGGUGUCUUCCUGCAGGUGCUGGGCACACGGGGCAGGUAUGGGCUGCAGGUGCCGGGGGCACCAGUGGGACAGAUGUUCCCGUGGGGAGAAGAAGCAAGCAGGCCUGGCCCUGGAGCCUUCUGUGCAUUGACAGCCAGGGCGGCCAUGAAGUGCCUCCUCGACAAGUUCCAGGCGCAGUGAAGUGAGAGAGUUGAACCCAGCAUCUUCCUUCCAGACCGGCAGCUGGUACCUCUGGAGCCCAGGAGCUGCGACCAAGCUGGUUCCCUACGUUUCUUCUUCACCCACGGUUUCCUCUCACCCCCUGCUCUUGCCCUCACCUCACCCGAGUUUAUGGGAAAUCAUCAAAUUAAAUUAGCUCUCAUAUUCGCA